rnacentral:rRNA from 1 species
AGCGGCGGACGGGUGAGUAAUGCUUGGGAACUUGCCUUUGGGUGGGGGAUAACCAUGGGAAACUGUGGCUAAUACCGCAUGAUAUGUACGCAUCAAAGUGGGGGAUCUUCGGACCUCACGCCCAGAGAUAGGCCCAAGUGAGAUUAGCUAGUUGGUGGGGUAAAGGCUCACCAAGGCGACGAUCUCUAGCUGUUCUGAGAGGAUGAUCAGCCACACUGGGACUGAGACACGGCCCAGACUCCUACGGGAGGCAGCAGUGGGGAAUAUUGCACAAUGGGGGAAACCCUGAUGCAGCCAUGCCGCGUGUGUGAAGAAGGCCUUCGGGUUGUAAAGCACUUUCAGUGGUGAGGAAGGUUGGUAGCUUAAUACGCUACCAAAUUGACGUUAGCCACAGAAGAAGCACCGGCUAACUCCGUGCCAGCAGCCGCGGUAAUACGGAGGGUGCGAGCGUUAAUCGGAAUUACUGGGCGUAAAGCGUACGUAGGCGGCUUAUUAAGCAAGAUGUGAAAGCCCCGGGCUCAACCUGGGAAUUGCAUUUUGAACUGGUAGGCUCGAGUUUUGAAGAGGGUGGUAGAAUUUCCAGUGUAGCGGUGAAAUGCGUAGAUAUUGGAAGGAAUACCAGUGGCGAAGGCGGCCACCUGGUCAAAAACUGACGCUGAGGUACGAAAGCGUGGGGAGCAAACAGGAUUAGAUACCCUGGUAGUCCACGCCGUAAACGAUGUCAACUAGUUGUUCGUUUCAUAAACGAAGUGAGUAACGCAGCUAACGCACUAAGUUGACCGCCUGGGGAGUACGGCCGCAAGGUUAAAACUCAAAUGAAUUGACGGGGGCCCGCACAAGCGGUGGAGCAUGUGGUUUAAUUCGAUGCAACGCGAAGAACCUUACCAUCCCUUGACAUCCAGUGAAUUUUCUAGAGAUAGAUUAGUGCCUUCGGGAACACUGAGACAGGUGCUGCAUGGCUGUCGUCAGCUCGUGUUGUGAGAUGUUGGGUUAAGUCCCGCAACGAGC